rnacentral:rRNA from 1 species
UGGGGAAUAUUGCACAAUGGGCGCAAGCCUGAUGCAGCCAUGCCGCGUGUGUGAAGAAGGCCUUCGGGUUGUAAAGCACUUUCAGCGGGGAGGAAGGCGUUAAGGUUAAUAACCUUGGCGAUUGACGUUACCCGCAGAAGAAGCACCGGCUAACUCCGUGCCAGCAGCCGCGGUAAUACGGAGGGUGCAAACGUUAAUCGGAAUUACUGGGCGUAAAGCGCACGCAGGCGGUCUGUCAAGUCGGAUGUGAAAUCCCCGGGCUCAACCUGGGAACUGCAUUCGAAACUGGCAGGCUAGAGUCUUGUAGAGGGGGGUAGAAUUCCAGGUGUAGCGGUGAAAUGCGUAGAGAUCUGGAGGAAUACCGGUGGCGAAGGCGGCCCCCUGGACAAAGACUGACGCUCAGGUGCGAAAGCGUGGGGAGCAAACAGG